rnacentral:rRNA from 1 species
CCUACGGGUGGCAGCAGUGGGGAAUAUUGGGCAAUGGAGGAAACUCUGCCCCAGCAACGCAGCGUGAAGGAUGACGGUUUUCGGAUUGUAAACUUCAGUCGCGAGGGAUGAAGAAUGAAGGUACCUCGUAAGAAAGCGCCGGCAAACUCCGUGCCAGCAGCCGCGGGAAUACGUAGGGGGCAAGCGUUAUCCGGAUUUACUGGGUGUAAAGGGAGAGUAGACGGCCAGACAAGUCAGAAGUGAAAGCCCAGGGCUCAACCCUGGGACUGCUUUUGAAACUGCCGGUCUGGAGUGCAGGAGAGGUGAGCGGAAGUCGUGGUGUAGCGGUGAAAUGCGUAGAUAUUAGGAGGAACACCAGUGGCGAAGGCGGCUUACUGGACUGUAACUGACACUGAGGCUCGAAAGCGUGGGGAGCAAACAGGAUUAGAUACCCGGGUAGUC